rnacentral:rRNA from 1 species
AGUCAAUAGAUACCCUGGUAGUCCACGCCGUAAACGAUGAGUACUAGGUGUAGGAGGUAUCGACUCCUUCUGUGCCGCAGUUAACACAAUAAGUACUCCGCCUGGGAAGUACGGUCGCAAGAUUAAAACUCAAAGGAAUUGACGGGGGCCCGCACAAGCAGCGGAGCAUGUGGUUUAAUUCGAAGCAACGCGAAGAACCUUACCUAGACUUGACAUCCCCUGAAUAACGUAGAGAUACGCGAAGCCCUUCGGGGCAGGGAGACAGGUGGUGCAUGGUUGUCGUCAGCUCGUGUCGUGAGAUGUUGGGUUAAGUCCCGCAACGAGCGCAACCCUUAUCAUUAGUUGCUACCAUUUAGUUGAGCACUCUAGUGAGACUGCCCGGGUUAACCGGGAGGAAGGCGGGGAUGACGUCAAAUCAUCAUGCCCCUUAUGUCUAGGGCUACACACGUGCUACAAUGGUGAGAACAACGAGAUGCAAUACCGCGAGGUGGAGCAAAACUUCAAAACUCAUCUCAGUCCGGAUUGUAGGCUGAAAC